rnacentral:rRNA from 1 species
UUUAUCUUUUAGUUAGAAACUUGGAGUAAAUUUCCCAUAUAAAUAAAGGAGUUUCCUUUAUUGUAAUUCACCCUCAAGAAUAUUAUGUUCUCUCAUUCCUCAUGAGAAAUAAAGAAUUCUCUCCUUUUUUUUCUCUAUUAUUCUUUUGAUUCUUGCUUUAUAUUUCAUAACACUUUUAAUUUUUUUGCCUUAUGAAUCCCCUUAUUUGUGUAUUGCAAAACUUCUAUAAAAUGAAUUGUAAUUUUUAAUUCUUUUCAAUUAGUUUGUCUAGCUUUUUUGAAAAAGAAAAUAGGAAACUCUUGACUCUAAUCUAAUUAAAGAAGCAGAAUUGAUUGUUCCCAUCAAGGGCGAAAGACGUUUUAAUUGGAUCAUGAAGUAUUUACCUAAAAUUAAGUAUGAGCCCGCAUGAUUUUCUAACAUUUUGUAUUGAACCAUUAGACACCUUUAGAUGCAUAAAUAAUAGUAAUACAUUAUUUUUUGUUCGUUACGUUAAAAAGUCACCUUAUUAUAACUUAUGAAACGUUUGGCUGACUAAUUGAAUUUUUUUCCUUUUUUUGCAUAAAUGAUGUAAAGUUUGAUUGACAGUAUUAGAUAUACAUAUCUAUAUUAAAUUAGGCAGAAAUCAACUGUUAGUUUAUACGAGAUUGAAUAUAUAAUCAAAAUUGCAUAUCCUUAAUGCAUCUCUGGAAAGUAGCGAUUGUGAAUUUUUUCGGAGAUUUAAAAAAAAAGGGAUUUAGAAACAAUGUUAUAAUACAUAUUUAUAUCAAUUACUCCAUCCGUUCAUAUUCAACAAUACUUAUCCAAUUUGAAAAUUAAUGUAUAAUUUAUCAUUAAUUAUCCAUUUUACCCUUAUUAGAGAAGGUGAACUAGAUAUAACUGAAUUUUGUUUCAGUGUUCAAGUUACUCCUCAAAUCUUUUGACAUUCCAUGAGCAAAUCCUAAGUUGAAAUUGAUGUGUUUAGCAUUAUCAUUUCAAUAUACGAUUGAAUUAAAUUUGUUUGCAGCAGUUGUGAUGUGUGAUUUGCAGCUAUUAUUUCUAUCUUGAUAGUCAGUCUUAUGUGAUCUUUCUAAACUAACAGAAGAAUGUACAGCCACAUCGUGUUGUUAUCGUAGCAGCCACCCUUAAAAGAGUGCGUAAUAGUCCACUAAUCGAGCGCUCUUGCUCCAAAGAUGAACAGGACAAAGUGAUCAGUCGAAGCUGUGGGAUGUAAAAAUAUAUCGAUAAGGGAGAGUUCCGCCUUAUAAAGAAGCCUCCACGCAAGCGGUUCUGGACGAAGCGGAAGCGAGAAUGUCUGCUUGAGUAACACAAACAUUGAUGAGAAUCCAAUGCCCCAAAAACCUAAGGGUUCCUCUGCAAGGUUCAUCCAAGGAGGGUGAGUCAGGGCCUAAGAUCAAGCCGAAAGGCAUAGUCUAUGGACAACAGGUGAAUAUUCUUGUACUACCCCUUGUUGGUCCCGAGGGACAGAGGAGGCUAGGUUAGCCGAAAGAUAGUUAUCGGUUUAAGAAUGUAAGAUGUCCCUAUUUUUUUUAAGGGUAAGAAGGGGUAGAGAAAAUGCCUCGAGCCAAUGUUCGAAUACCAGGCACUACAACGCAUAAGUAACCCAUGCCAUACUCCUAAGAAAAACUCGAACAACUUUGAACAAAAGGGUACAUGUACCCAAAACCGACACAGGCAGGUAGGUAGAGAAUACCUAGGGGCGCGAGACAACUCACUCUAAGGAACUCGGCAAAAUAUCCCCAUAACUUUGAAAGAAGGGGUGCCUCCUCACAAAGGGGGUCAUAGUAACCAGGCCCGGGUGACUGUUUACGGAAAACACAUGUCUCCGCAAAGUCGUAAAACUAUGUAUGGGGCUGAAGCUUGCCUAAUACGGUAGGUCAAGGAAAUUGGUGACUUAAAGAUAGGGAAGCCGACGAUCGAAGCCCCGGUGAACAACGGUCGUAACUAUAACGGUCCUAAGGUAGCAAAUUUUCUUAUCGGGUAAGUUUCAACCUAUACAAAAGGCAUAACGAUAUGGGCACUAUCUUGGAGAGAGGCUCAGUAAGAUACACUUGUCUGUAAAGAUGUAGACUACCUGCACCUGGACAGAAAGACCUUAUGAAGCUUUCUAUUUCUUGGGAUUGGCUUUGGGCCUUUCCUGCGCAGCUUAGAUGGAAGGCGAAGAGGGGGGGGGGGAGGGGAUCAAUGAGAUACUACUCUGAAAGGUCUAGAAUUAUAACCUUAUGUCAGGACCUACGUACCAAGGGACAGUCUCAGAUAGAUAGUUUCUAUAGGGCACAGGCAUCCCAAAAGGUAACAGAGGCAUGCAAAGGUUUCUUCGGAUUGGACGGAGAUUGGCCCUCGAGUGCAAAGGCAGAAUAGAGCUUGAUUGUAAGACCCACCCGUUGAGCAAGGACAAAAGUCAGCCUUAGUGAUCCGGCGAUGCCGAGUGGAAGGGCUGUCACUCAACAGAUAAAAGUUACUCUAUGGAUAACAUGUUGAUCUUCCCCAAGAGCUCACAUCGCCGGGAAGUUUUGGCACCGCGAUAUUGGCUCUUCACUACCUGGGGCUGGAGUAUGUUCUAAGGAUUGGGUUGUUCGCCCAUCAAAGCAGUACGUGAGCUAAGUUCAGAACGUCGUGAGACAGUUCGGGUAUGUGAAUCUUUUUACUAAUUUUGUACUUAAUAAAAUAUCCUGCACACAAUAAUUUAUUUAUUUUUUAUAUACAUUUGUUCUUAAUUAACGUUUGAUACAUGUGCAACGUACGUAUACUAAACUACUAUUCUCAAUAAAAUGUGUAUUACAUCUCAUUUACUCCAUCCAUCUUUACUUGUCUAGUACGUUUAACAUAAUUGUCCAAUUUUACUUGUUUGUUUGAAAAAUCAAUACACAAUGUAUUA